rnacentral:lncRNA from 1 species
UAUCCAGUCAGAGAUGGAGACUAUUAUCCAAUAAGAGUUGUCAAAAAAGUUCCUUCUCAUCCAAUCAGAACCAAGCUUCCAAGAUACCGCGGUUGCGUACAGCCGUUAUAAAAGGGAGGCGAAGGCCCACUCCGCCAUUUUCUUUUCGUGGAGGCUGGUCUCUAGUCGUCUGGGCUGCGGUCUUCAUGGACCGGAAGCGUGUGCGGAGCGCCUGCCUCGAGGCCAGCAUCAGGGAAGGGUGUUCCAGGUGAAGGCGAAGCUUCCUUCACGUGUUCUUGGAGGACUUUCCGCUUGCAAGCGCUUCUCCAUUCUCCUAAGAUCUGGGGCCUGUGUGGAAGGAAGAAACCUUCUGAUGGCUUUGGCCCGGGAAUAUGGCGGUUCCAAGCACAAUGCUAUACUGAAAUGGUACCAGAAGACAGAAGGUUAUAUGGGCUCAAGGUGUGAGUGGUCUGAGGCCCGUCAGCGACCCCUGUGCCUCAGUGGGAGAUCGAGUGUCUCCCAUCCCAUGUGGCCACUUGAUCUGCUGAAUUCUGAGUCAGAGGCCAGGAAUAUGGAUCUAACUCCGCUGGCUACAGAGUUGGAGAGGGUUUUCAAGCCAUGGUGGCAGGUGGUCUCUCAGCCAGAACUGUGGUUCUGGAGGACACAAGGAAACCCACAACUCCUGAACCAUGAUGGGGAUUGGGGUAUUGAGAGAAGAAGGUGGAUGGGUGGAUGCAGAAGCGGCGUGGCUGACACACAAGACAACACGGAUGGGCCUGUGCUGAGUAAAAAGAAGCCCGUCAUUAAAGGGCACAUGCUGUAUGGUAGAGGGACACAGUCACGCGUGUGUUGUUGGGAGACAGAGUCUAAGGUGGAAGAACCUCUUUGA